CUUCAAAGGGCCAAAUAACUCAUUUUGUCUGGGGGUAUAGAAGGCUGUUAGUCUCUGAUUGUGUAUACACUUUGAGCUUGUUUCUAUGCUUAUCGCUAUCAGUCACCAAAAGUGAUGCUUAAAAUGGUUGUCAGUUAAUUCAUGGCUGUUUCCAUGCUACAAUGCUUCAUCGUUAGUGACUGGUAAUGAGCACUUCAACCAGAUUUCAGAGCUGGAAUUAUUCAAAUAUACCAAUUAUGAAC